rnacentral:rRNA from 1 species
ACAAACGCUGGCGGCGUGCUUAACACAUGCAAGUCGCACGGAAAGGCCCUGCUUUUGUGGGGUGCUCGAGUGGCGAACGGGUGAGUAACACGUGAGUAACCUGCCCUUGACUUUGGGAUAACUUCAGGAAACUGGGGCUAAUACCGGAUAGGAGCUCCUGCUGCAUGGUGGGGGUUGGAAAGUUUCGGCGGUUGGGGAUGGACUCGCGGCUUAUCAGCUUGUUGGUGGGGUAGUGGCUUACCAAGGCUUUGACGGGUAGCCGGCCUGAGAGGGUGACCGGCCACAUUGGGACUGAGAUACGGCCCAGACUCCUACGGGAGGCAGCAGUGGGGAAUAUUGCACAAUGGGCGGAAGCCUGAUGCAGCAACGCCGCGUGCGGGAUGACGGCCUUCGGGUUGUAAACCGCUUUCGCCUGUGACGAAGCGUGAGUGACGGUAAUGGGUAAAGAAGCACCGGCUAACUACGUG